UAAUUAGUAAGUAUUUCACAUUUUCUUAUGUUUGCUACCACGGGUAGUGCGGCCCCGAGAAAAUUAUCUUUUUAGCUUAAUUACACUAAUUUUCUGAACUUUUGUCAUUCUUCACUAAAACACCUGGUAUAUAUAUUGCCCUGUGGUCGAGGUGUACCCACAGCCUCGUACUUCACAUGGAAUUGUUUAACUUGCACGUUGAUUUUUCAAGGAUGCUCAUGACUGCAACCUCCAGUCUUGGGCGUCUCAUUGGUGAGCGACCUCCUGGGUCUCUUUAUUGCUCAAGAGUUGGCCCCUGUCUGCUUGUCUGAACUUCCGGAGCAGCUGUCGUCCUCUGCUCAAAGCUGGCACACCAGUCGAUUGCCGGUCUCCAUGGCCAGCUGCGCACCAAAACACUCUAUGGCCUUGCACGCUUUCACCUAUUGUCUGCACUCCAAGUGUCCUCUUCAUGUUUUCGGAGCCGAGCAUAUCACAUUUUUCAUCUAUAAGUUCCGUAGACAUCCUGCGUGGCUGUGGCUCUUUAGCUUAACAGUCUGGUUCAGCCUCAAUGGACUCCCAUCUAAUUCUAUUUAAUUUUCGCAAUUCUCACGCCUUUUAUAAGACUGAGAGUUGUUGCACGUCUUCCCACUUGAUGACUGCGGAAGUUCUUGAAAGCUUCCGCAAAUCAUGUUGGAAGCCAUCUGAUUCCCAGAAUUUGAAAACAUUGCCAACAGUUUUCUUUCAGUUUGAACUGAGCUGGGCUUGUUGCCAGAAGCAGAAGCAUAAUGUCGGAUGUUAGUUGACAACAGAAAUCCAAGAAAUAUAAUGGAAUUGUCCCGUCUAGGGAGAUGGGCCUUGUUGUUUGUCUCUUCCCAACUACUGGGAUAUCACUCAUCAUCCACAUCCUUUAAGCAGUGUCUAUUAGAGAUGUAUUGAAAUGCUCUAUACAGCCCUGUGGAUGAAUGUUCCUCGUUGUCUGUGAAGACCGUUGUGCUUGAUUAAUGAUCCCUGACUCGGGAAUUGUUGUUCUGGUUGUGAUAUCACAUGAUCGUGCCUGGCACCCUCUUCUCGAGUGUGAUAUUACAAAAUGGAUGGGUCAGUCUUUGUGGCCACUUUCGUUCCACGCUCACUGCCCAACCUCAGAAACUCCAAAGUGUGAUACAACGCUUGUAUCGUGUAAAGUCCCGUCUAGGGAGCAGUUGCCUAUUACAUGCAGAGAGUAAUAUUUUACAGCCGAAAAAUCUGCAUAGUUUUGUAUGUACCAGAGUAUUUUUUGAAAGGCAGGGUUUAGUCACUGUUGACAAAUUUAAAGAAGCUUUCUGUAGGCCUGGUGUUUCUGUUUUAUAGGAUACGACGGAUCUCCAGGAGCCUGUGUUAACUUUCUGCUGAAGCGUUCAUAAUGAAUAAACUGUUGCAGGAGUAAUUCUGAUCAUUUUGGCUAAAUCUUGCUCGUUUUAGAUUGACUUUUUAAACUAAUUGAAAUGUCUAAGUAAGGAGAGUUAUUGGCAGUGACUUAUCUCCAAAUCCCUGUAAUACGUGAAAUUCAGUAUUUAAGAAGCAAUUGUUCAAAUUUUGUUUAGAAGACAUUAAACACUCCUUUCGGGGAGUGAACAAGAACAUGUUUUAAUAAUUUCCCUGAUCAACUUAGCAGGAAAUUCAGCGUCAAGUGACUUGACAACCAUUUCCCUUUAAAUUUAUAGGGAAAAUUCAUGUCGCAUGCCGUCGUGCUAUUGCAUGACACAACUUGACGCCGUGACAUCAUGCCACUUGACAUUCGGUUACGUAACGUCAUUUUCCUGCCGAAUUUAUGGAAAACUGGCGUUGCAUGACCAGACAAUGCAAGACAUGGUCACUUGAUGUGACAUCACUAUGUCACGUAACACCAUGAAGUCGCAUGAUGUAGAUUUGCCCGCUGAAUUUAGUGGAGAGGUGCACAGGCGAGUGGAUAGUUUCUUGUAUUAAAGGGCCACUGAAAAGGAAAAAAAAAUUUGUCUUCUCUUGCACAGCCUGGUUGGACACACGUGUAAAAAAAAAUUGUAUGCGAAAAAAAAAUUUUUUAUACCGAUAUUGACGGCGCGAGACGCGAUUUAGUCCCUAGUCACCUCCUUUCCACUUGUUUUCUCCUGGCAUUUCCAACGCGUCGAGGAGAGGUGGAUUGACUUGGCCAUCAGGUUGAGGUGGGGAGAGCGUAUGAUCAUCUCGUUGAGGUGGAAAAAGUAGGAUCAUUCGUGACAUCAUGGACUUUUCGCGCAGAAUUUAGCAUAAAUCGCACGCCGUCAAUAUUGCUCUAAUUUUUUUUUUUUUGCAUCAAAUUAAUCUUUUGACACGCACCUCCGAACCAAACUGUUCAAAAAAAACUUUUUUUUUUUCCUUUUCAGUGGCCCUCUAAGGUUUCCCGUUAAAAAAGCAUUCUAUGCUUUCAAGUAAAAUAUUUGCUUAUGGGGAAAGGGCAGGACACUUGCAGGCUCUGGGACUUCCAAGUGCCCUUUGUGGAGUGAGCGGUUGACUGCGAACUUACGAUCAAUCUAUCAAAACGUAUCCUAUAUAACGUAAACAUAUCUGUACAAAUAAAUUGCACUUUAUUCUUUUAUUGAUUUUUUUUUUAUUUGGCUUGUUAGAUGUGAUAUUGAUGAGCAUAAAAGAUAUGUGACCACACCAUAUCGUUUUAGAACUUGUCUUACUAUGAAUGGCUACAAAGUACUAUUGUUUUGUUGUUUUUUUUUUUUUGCUUGUGCAAGCGUAUAAAGUAUUUUUAUGUGUAUGAAGUGCUUUUAUAAGGGAUCUGCACUUUGCCAUUCUCGAUUUGUGCAUUCUAUGUUUGUUGACAUAGAUGCUUCAUUUAGAACAGGCAGAGCUCAAGUACGGUUGUUUGAUUUUAUGUAAAAACACCCAAGUGAACUCGAGUGAACUUUCAUGGUCUCAAAUAUGCUCAAGCUUGUCACUUAUGUAAUUGUCCCUUUGUUGUGGCAUGGGUGAAAUUGCGCUUGGGGUUAGUCGACUUGUUGCUCUCGAAACCAUAGAUGUUUUAGAUGUUCAGUGCUUUCCUCUGUCCUGCUUCUCCAAGUUUAUGGGCAACAAUCAAACAUGAUGGGGUUGCAAAACACCCUGAGAUUUCCCUAUUCUAUACAUGUUGUAUCCUGUCAUUUGAAUGGAAAUAAAAUGUUGCAUGAC